GACGAACGCUGGCGGCGUGCUUAACACAUGCAAGUCGAACGAAGAGCGAUGGAAGCUUGCUUCUAUCAAUCUUAGUGGCGAACGGGUGAGUAACGCGUAAUCAACCUGCCCUUCAGAGGGGGACAACAGUUGGAAACGACUGCUCAUACCGCAUACGAUCUAAUCUCGGCAUCGAGGAUAGAUGAAAGGUGGCCUCUACAUGUAAGCUAUCACUGAAGGAGGGGAUUGCGUCUGAUUAGCUAGUUGGAGGGGUAACGGCCCACCAAGGCGAUGAUCAGUAGCCGGUCUGAGAGGAUGAACGGCCACAUUGGGACUGAGACACGGCCCAGACUCCUACGGGAGGCAGCAGUGGGGAAUCUUCCGCAAUGGACGAAAGUCUGACGGAGCAAUGCCGCGUGAGUGAUGACGGCCUUCGGGUUGUAAAGCUCUGUUAAUCGGGACGAAAGGCCUUCUUGCGAAUAGUGAGAAGGAUUGACGGUACCGGAAUAGAAAGCCACGGCUAACUACGUG
rnacentral:rRNA from 1 species